rnacentral:rRNA from 1 species
UCGAGAAUUUUUCUCAAUGGGGGAAACCCUGAAGGAGCGACGCCGCGUGGAGGAUGAAGGUCUUCGGGUUGUAAACUCCUGUCAUUUGGGAACAAGGCGGACGUAUUUACUGUACGUCCGUUGAUAGUACCAGAAGAGGAAGAGACGGCUAACUCUGUGCCAGCAGCCGCGGUAAUACAGAGGUCUCAAGCGUUGUUCGGAUUCAUUGGGCGUAAAGGGUGCGUAGGUGGCGCCGUAAGUCAGGUGUGAAAUUUCGGAGCUUAACUCCGAAACUGCAUUUGAUACUGCGGUGCUUGAGGACUGGAGAGGAGACUGGAAUUCAUGGUGUAGCAGUGAAAUGCGUAGAGAUCAUGAGGAAGACCAGUGGCGAAGGCGGGUCUCUGGACAGUUCCUGACACUGAGGCACGAAGGCCAGGGGAGCAAACGGGAUUAGAUACCCCUGUAGUCC